GGUGAUGCCAGAUGGAAAGCAUUCAGCCUGGAGCUCGGUGACCAGUGGUUUUCUGCACGGAGAGGUUACAGGACCUCUGCUCUUGGUACUCGGGAAGUUCCUGACUCAAUAGACUUCCCAACUGCUGUGCGUCUCAUCCAUCACCUCAUUGAAGAUGGUUGGUCAGCCAGGGAGACAAAGGGCAGGGAGAUCUGGAGCCUUUAAUAAAUCCUGCAGUGAGGUACUCAGGAAGGUUCAGACUCGAUUAACUUCCCAGCUGCUGGGUGUCUCGUCCAUCAUCACAUUGAAGAUAGUUGGUCAGCCAGAGAGACAAAAGAGAGGGAGAUCUGCAGCCUUCAAUAAAUCCUGC